GUGUGUACACACAAAACUUUCGGGGCUCCACUUAGCAAAAAUUCGCUGUUACUUCCCGUUAGCAAAAUUAUUUUUUUACUUUAGAGUUAGCAAAAAGCUAAAUUUGCUUGAUUUGAGUAAAAAUUAAUUUUUCUGGCCGCUUUUCUUUUGAAUAACAGCCGCCUUUACCGCCGAAAAGAAAACAUAAGUUCGGUUACGGAAAUUCGGUGCCAGCGGUGAUUUUGAUGACCAAGCGGACGACGACCAAGCGGAUUUAUACUGGAAAGCAAACAGGAUGGCGCUCCCAGCGAAUACAACAACAGAGCCGGGGAUUCAUCUAAGAGGUUGCCAAGUCUCCGAACAUGCUUAAUGUCGGUCGACGAUGGAAACAUCCGGAAACGAACGGUCAACCUACCCACAUCCGGAACAACCCGAUCCAGGCGCCAGGAACAAGUAAUUAUUGGUAAAGUUCGAUAAAGUAUUCACAACGCUGGUGGACAAGUGUAAAUCCAGAAAAUAAAUUAAAGUGAAUGGUGAAA